rnacentral:rRNA from 1 species
CUACGGGGGGCUGCAGUGAGGAAUUUUGCGCAAUGGGCGAAAGCCUGACGCAGCAACGCCGCGUGAGUGAUGAAGGCUUUCGGGUCGUAAAGCUCUGUCAAGUGGGAAGAACCUAUAUAAUGUUAAUACCAUUAUAUACUGACGGUACCACUGAAGGAAGCACCGGCUAACUCCGUGCCAGCAGCCGCGGUAAUACGGGGGGUGCAAGCGUUAUUCGGAAUCAUUGGGCGUAAAGAGCACGUAGGCGGCCUGGUAAGUCAGAUGUGAAAGCCCGGGGCUUAACCCCGGAAGUGCAUUUGAUACUGCCCGGCUUGAGUAUGGGAGAGGGAAGUGGAAUUCCUGGUGUAGAGGUGAUAUUCGUAGAUAUCAGGAGGAACACCGGUGGCGAAGGCGACUUCCUGGACCAAUACUGACGCUGAGGUGCGAAGGCGUGGGUAGCAAACAGGAUUAGAUACCCUAGUAGUC